rnacentral:lncRNA from 1 species
UGAAAUGGUGAUGGAAUUGAAAUGAUGAUGGAUCAUUGUAUUGUGGAGACUUAUUGCAUCUUUGUCAAUUUGUUUUAUUUAAAAUAUUGCUAUUAUGUGUAGAUUGUUUUUCUGGUUCUGAUCAUUUUACAUUUUACUUAUAACAGUUCACAUAAGCUUCCUCAGGUUUUCCCUGAAGCAUUCAUUCACUUAAUGAUCUCCUACAGCACAUUGGUAUUUUAUCACAUUCACAUACCAUACCUUGUUCAACCAUUCCCAAGUUGAAAUGCAUUUCCUCCUUUUCUAGUUCUUUACCACCAAAAAAAAAAACUACUAUAAAUAUUUGCAUGUGUGUGCACAUAUGAUUCUUUCCCCUCUUUCUUUGAAUUAUUAGGGGCAUAGACCUAGUAGAAAUGUUGCUGCUGGGUAAAGAGCAUAUGAAGUUUUUUAGCCUUUUGUACUCAGUAACAAAUUGUUCUGCAGAAUAGUUGGACUAGUUCAGAGAUCCACCAACCGUGCUUUAAUGUAACUAUUUUCCCAUAGACCUUGGGAGGGCUUUUCAUUUCAUUCAACUUUUUCAUUUCUCUCUUUUUAAUAGAAGAGGAAACGGAGAUACAGAAAAUGUAGGUAACUUAACUAAGGUCACUCAGGUAGCAAGCAAUAGAACUGGAAUUCAGAUCUAGCUAUUUGACUUUAAAUACAUUGUACUUAUCAUUCUACCACAAGAACAUAACUAAAAAUUGACUCAACAACAACAAAGUUUCUGGAAGCCAUGUAUUUCAUAUCAGUAGAGAUCAUCAAAUGGUUUCUGGAGCCCUACUUUUCAGGAUGUUAGUACUAGGGUAUGUGACUUUCAGAUAUCAAUUACCUUUGAGGUAAUUUCCAACUUUAUGUUUCUGGGAUUCAUAGGACCCAUAAUUUGAUAAGAGGUUAUAAAUAUAUUUCUCUAUAUAUGUAAUUUAAAAUUGUCUGAACAUUUAUAUAUGAUAUACUUUUAAACUUCUUACCUCUUGUCUUAUAAUCAACAUUAAGUAUUGGUUCCAAGGAGGAAGAGUGAUAAGGGCUAGACAAUUGAUGUUAAGUGACUUGCUCAGGGUAACACAGCUAAGAA